GUACUUGCUUCGUCAGCACAUAUAAUAAAAUUAGAAUGAUACAGAGAAGAUUAGCAUGGCACCUGCACAAGAAUGAUAUGAAAAUUCAUGAAGCGUUCCAAAUAUAU
rnacentral:snRNA from 1 species